GGUGGUGUAGCUCAGUGGUAGAGCACUUUUGCCUAGAAUGAGAGAGGCCCUGGGUUCAAUUCCCACUAUCCUUG
rfam:Ictidomys tridecemlineatus contig028542, whole genome shotgun sequence.